rnacentral:rRNA from 1 species
GGAUCUGUCGGUUGGUCGGGCUUCACUGUCCGCACUGGCCUGAUGGAUUCCUACCUUCUGAUUAACCAGCAUGCUAUUAAGUUAGUGCGUUGGGGAAGCAGAGCUAUUACCUUGAAAAAAUUAGAGUGCAUAAAGCAGGCUUGUGCUUGAAUAGAUUAGCAUGGAAUAAUAAAAUAGGACGGCGUGGUUCUAUUUUGUUGGUUUCUAGGAUCACUGUA